rnacentral:snRNA from 1 species
AUUUGCUGCGGCGAUACAUAUACUAAAAAUUGGAACGAUACAGAGAAAAUUAGUAUGGCCCCUGCUCAAGGAUGACACGCAAAAUCGUCAAGCGUUUCAUAUUUUC